rnacentral:rRNA from 1 species
AGAGUUUGAUCCUGGCUCAGGAUGAACGCUAGCGGCAGGCUUAACACAUGCAAGUCGAAGGGCAGCGUGGGAAGUGCUUGCACUUCCUGACGGCGACUGGCGCACGGGUGAGUAACACGUAUGCAACCUGCCCCCUGCAGGGGGACAACUUUCCGAAAGGAAGGCUAAUCCCGCGUAUAUUCAGAGGAGGCAUCUCCUCUGGAGGAAAGAUUCAUCGGCAGGGGAUGGGCAUGCGGCGCAUUAGGCAGACGGCGGUGUAACGGACCACCGUACCGACGAUGCGUAGGGGUUCUGAGAGGAAGGUCCCCCACACUGGUACUGAGACACGGACCAGACUCCUACGGGAGGCAGCAGUGAGGAAUAUUGGUCAAUGGGCGGGAGCCUGAACCAGCCAAGCCGCGUGAGGGAGGAAGGCCCUAUGGGUCGUAAACCUCUUUUGUCAGGGAACAAAAGCGAGUAUGCAUACUUGUCUGAGUGUACCUGAAGAAAAAGCAUCGGCUAACUCCGUGCCAGCAGCCGCGGUAAUACGGAGGAUGCGAGCGUUAUCCGGAUUUAUUGGGUUUAAAGGGUGCGUAGGCGGCGAUGCAAGUCAGCGGUAAAAGCCCGGGGCUCAACCCCGGCGAGCCGUUGAAACUGCAGUGCUAGAGAAGGCGAGAGGUACGCGGAAUGCGCAGUGUAGCGGUGAAAUGCUUAGAUAUUGCGCAGAACUCCGAUUGCGAAGGCAGCGUACUGGCGCCUGACUGACGCUGAGGCACGAAAGCGUGGGGAUCGAACAGGAUUAGAUACCCUGGUAGUCCACGCAGUAAACGAUGAAUGCCGGCUGUUCGGCCCGAUUAGGGGUUGAGCGGCGAAGCGAAAGCGAUAAGCAUUCCACCUGGGGAGUACGCCGGCAACGGUGAAACUCAAAGGAAUUGACGGGGGC